rnacentral:piRNA from 1 species
UGCCAUGUCAACUCAGGAUUGAGGGAA